AGAGGGUGCGAGCGUUAAUCGGAAUUACUGGGCGUAAAGGGCGCGUAGGCGGUAGCAUGUGUGUGAUGUGAAAGCCCCGGGCUUAACCUGGGAAGAGCAUCGCAAACUAUGAAACUGGAGUAUAUGAGAGGGUGGCGGAAUUUCCGGUGUAGCGGUGAAAUGCGUAGAGAUCGGAAGGAACGUCGAUGGCGAAGGCAGCCACCUGGCAUAAUACUGACGCUGAGGCGCGAAAGCGUGGGGAGCGAACAGGAUUAGAUACCCUGGUAGUCCACGCUGUAAACGAUGAGGACUAGAUGUUGUUAGGGGAACCUAUCAGUAUCGAAGCUAACGCGAUAAGUCUUCCGCCUGGGAAGUACGGCCGCAAGGUUG
rnacentral:rRNA from 1 species